UACACCACCUAAACCAAUUUCACAUAUGAAACUCACCGUCUGUCUCUCUCUGCAAUCGUCUCUCUUCCUCUCUCAAAUCCCUAGUCUCCACCGUCGCCCUGCCGCCGCCUCCACUCACGACGACUCUCUUCGGCCUUGCUGCCCUCUCCAUCUCGACCCCUCUCUCCACCAUCCCACCGUCGCCCUGCCGCCGCCUCCACUCACGGCGACUCUCUUCGGCCUUGCUGCCCUCUCCAUCUCGACCCCUCUCUCCACCAUCCCACCGUCGAAGAACCCACUCCAGAUGCGUCGACUUGAGCGAGAAGACGAUGCAGAGGCUCGAGGCGAUCUGCCGCGAUUCGCAUCAAAAGCCCGCUCCAGCUGCGUCUAACUACCGUCC
rnacentral:lncRNA from 1 species